rnacentral:rRNA from 1 species
UCGUUGGUGACCAGCGGAGGGUCAUUACCGAGUUUACAACUCCCAAACCCCUGUGAACAUACCACUUGUUGCCUCGGCGGAUCAGCCCGCUCCCGGUAAAACGGGACGGCCCGCCAGAGGACCCCUAAACUCUGUUUCUAUAUGUAACUUCUGAGUAAAACCAUAAAUAAAUCAAAACUUUCAACAACGGAUCUCUUGGUUCUGGCAUCGAUGAAGAACGCAGCAAAAUGCGAUAAGUAAUGUGAAUUGCAGAAUUCAGUGAAUCAUCGAAUCUUUGAACGCACAUUGCGCCCGCCAGUAUUCUGGCGGGCAUGCCUGUUCGAGCGUCAUUUCAACCCUCAAGCACAGCUUGGUGUUGGGACUCGCGUUAAUUCGCGUUCCUCAAAUUGAUUGGCGGUCACGUCGAGCUUCCAUAGCGUAGUAGUAAAACCCUCGUUACUGGUAAUCGUCGCGGCCACGCCGUUAAACCCCAACUUCUGAAUGUUGACCUCGGAUCAGGUAGGAAUACCCGCUGAACUUAAGCAUAUCAAUAAGCGGAGGAAAAGAAACCAACAGGGAUUGCCCUAGUAACGGCGAGUGAAGCGGCAACAGCUCAAAUUUGAAAUCUGGCUCUCGGGCCCGAGUUGUAAUUUGUAGAGGAUACUUUUGAUGCGGUGCCUUCCGAGUUCCCUGGAACGGGACGCCAUAGAGGGUGAGAGCCCCGUCUGGUUGGAUGCCAAAUCUCUGUAAAGUUCCUUCAACGAGUCGAGUAGUUUGGGAAUGCUGCUCUAAAUGGGAGGUAUAUGUCUUCUAAAGCUAAAUACCGGCCAGAGACCGAUAGCGCACAAGUAGAGUGAUCGAAAGAUGAAAAGCACUUUGAAAAGAGAGUUAAAAAGUACGUGAAAUUGUUGAAAGGGAAGCGUUUAUGACCAGACUUGGGCUUGGUUAAUCAUCUGGGGUUCUCCCCAGUGCACUUUUCCAGUCCAGGCCAGCAUCAGUUUUCCCCGGGGGAUAAAGGCGGCGGGAAUGUGGCUCUCUUCGGGGAGUGUUAUAGCCCACCGUGUAAUACCCUGGGGGGGACUGAGGUUCGCGCAUCUGCAAGGAUGCGGCG